rnacentral:rRNA from 1 species
GUGGGGAAUUUUGCGCAAUGGGGGAAACCCUGACGCAGCAACGCCGCGUGAGUGAUGAAGGCUUUCGGGUCGUAAAGCUCUGUCAAGUGGGAAGAAAAUGAUCGAUGUUAAUACCAUCGUUCACUGACGGUACCACUAAAGGAAGCACCGGCUAACUCCGUGCCAGCAGCCGCGGUAAUACGGAGGGUGCAAGCGUUAUUCGGAAUUAUUGGGCGUAAAGGGCGCGUAGGCGGUUUCUUAAGUCAGAUGUGAAAGCCCGGGGCUCAACCCCGGAAGUGCAUUUGAAACUAAGGAACUUGAGUAUGGGAGAGGGAAGUGGAAUUCCUGGUGUAGCGGUGAAAUGCGUAGAUAUCAGGAGGAACACCGGUGGCGAAGGCGACUUCCUGGACCAAUACUGACGCUGAGGCGCGAAGGCGUGGGGAGCA